rnacentral:rRNA from 1 species
CAGUAGCCGCGGUAAAACGUAGGUGGCAAGCGUUGUCCGGAAUUAUUGGGCGUAAAGGGCUCGCAGGCGGUUUCUUAAGUCUGAUGUGAAAGCCCCCGGCUCAACCGGGGAGGGUCAUUGGAAACUGGGAAACUUGAGUGCAGAAGAGGAGAGUGGAAUUCCACGUGUAGCGGUGAAAUGCGUAGAGAUGUGGAGGAACACCAGUGGCGAAGGCGACUCUCUGGUCUGUAACUGACGCUGAGGAGCGAAAGCGUGGGGAGCGAACAGGAUUAGAUACCCCGGUAGUCCCUGUCUCUUAUAA